GUCCAACUCUAUCACGUUUCAUUCCUCACGAGAACACGACUCAAGCAUUAAUAUUAAGACUAAAACAUUGAUUUUGACAACUAUCCAUCUGAAUUAUACUAUUAAUUAAUAGCCACAUGGAUAAAAAAUAUUAAUUAAUUAAACAAAGCAUGACAGAAACAAGGAAAACGUUCGUUCAAUUUGGGAAGACGCGGCUCAGCAUCGUCAACUUGUCCUGUUAUUGCAUAUAUAUACUCAGUAGGGGUGGACAACAUGGAACCAACCGAGAAAAACCGUCCGACCCGUAUGAAUAUUUUAGCCUUCGGUCGGGUUUAUUCGGUUCUGCGGUUUGUGCGGGUGAAAACAACGGAUUUAAAGGGGUAAGUGUGGUCGGGUUCGGAUUGAACCCGUCGGACCCCGAACCCGACCGAUAGUUUUAUUAUUCUAUUGGUUUGUUACUCAGUUUUAUCCAAAUAACACAGCCCAAUUUUCAGGCCCAGAUCAAUUUGAUAAAACCACUUUGUAACCCUAAUCUCAUUCAUUCAUUCAUUCUUACGGAAAUCAAUCCGCCGCCGCUCUCCCUCAUUCCUUCAUCUUCUUUGUUGCUACCAUGAACAACAAUGAACAAUCACUCCGUUCCUCUCUUUGUUUAUUAUCACGUCUCUUCCCUUCAAAAUACAAGGUUCAUUUUGAAAUCUGACCCAACCCCAAUCGAUCUGUAAACAAUAUCGUCUCAAUACUUGAAGAAAGACGACUUACUAGUGUUUGUUUGAAAGCCACCCCUGUCAUCUUCAUCCUCUUAAGGAGUAUCAAUGGAGUUUCAAAGGCAAUUGGAGCAAAAAGUGUUUGAGAUGGUGAGUUUAGAAUUAACUGUUAAAUUAUUUUAAUCUUUUGAACCGGAUGUUUGAAUUUGGAACUAACUAUGUGAAUUUGAAACAAACUCUGAAUUUAGAACUGUUAUGAACUCAUUUGUGGAACUAACUCUAAAUUUUAAAUUUGGAACUCUCUUAAUUUUGAAAUCUAUUUUAAUAUAUACAUGAUUUAAUUCUGAAAUAAUUUAUGGUUUUUUAGAGUUUUACAAGAUUUAUGAUACUGAGAUACUUUGGGAGUUUUGGAGAGGAUCUUGUUGUGUAUGGAUAAUUAUAGCAUAAUAAAGGAGGAAAUUGCUUUGUCUUGUGUCUGCUUCAAGGCUUCAAGUCUAUUUAUCAACAUAGAAAUUGAAGGAAAAAAAUUGAAAAGAUUAUAAUCAAGAAAUAGAAGACAAAUUUGCCUCAGCUGUGGAGAAAGCAUCAACAUAACACAAAUAUGAACAUAUGGACUUUUGGACAAACAUAAAUUGUGUUAUUUACUCUAUUAUAUUAAAUGUUUUAAUUUUAAGAAAUAACAAAAAAACAAUAAUAAUUUUAAGAAAUAACAAAAAAACAAGAUAUUUAUUUUUUAAAUUAAAAAUUAAGUAAAAAUAAUUCAAUUUCCUAAUUUUAGAAUGGAUAUAAAAAGAUCCUGAUUUAAGAAGGGCCAAAAUUUAACCUGGCCCAGUAAUUAUAAAUCUGCAAAUAAAUAAAAAAAUAAGUUAAAUUUUAAAUUUGGGCUUAAAAGGUUAUAUGGCCCAACACAUUCUUAACCGAAUUAAACCGGUUUGCCUAACCGAUCCGAACUAAACCGGAUCCGACCAAACCGAAAGGCCCAACGGUCGGAAAUUGGGUCUGGAUAACUCACCCGAGGGUUGGUCCGGUUCUGGGUUUUGGGCCCGAAUCCGAACCGAACCGAACCGUUGUCCACCCCUUACUCAGCAUGCAAGUCUACACUUUGCUUUGUGAACACAUAAUAAUAGUUUAAUAUAUGAACUUUGUUUAAUAGCUAAUAACGACAAAAUUAAAUGAAUGAAAAGUAUAUGGGUAAAUUGACAAAACUUUAUUUUGUCAGGAAAAAUAAAGAAUUCAAAAUAAUAAUAAUAAUAAUAAUAAUAAUAAUAAUAAUAAUAAUAAUAAUAAUAAUAAUAAUAAUAAUAUACUAAAAUAAGAACUAUUAAUGUUUUAUUGAAUAUAUUGUAAAAUGA